UACACUCCUACGGGAGGCAGCAGUAGGGAAUCUUCCACAAUGGGUGCAAACCUGAUGGAGCAAUGCCGCGUGAGUGAAGAAGGUCUUCGGAUCGUAAAGCUCUGUUGUUAGAGAAGAACACGUGCUAGGUAACUACUAGCGCCUUGACGGUAUCUAACCAGAAAGUCACGGCUAACUACGUGCCAGCAGCCGCGGUAAUACGUAGGUGACAAGCGUUGUCCGGAUUUAUUGGGCGUAAAGGGAGCGCAGGCGGUCUGUUUAGUCUAAUGUGAAAGCCCACGGCUUAACCGUGGAACGGCAUUGGAAACUGACAGACUUGAAUGUAGAAGAGGAAAAUGGAAUUCCAAGUGUAGCGGUGGAAUGCGUAGAUAUUUGGAGGAACACCAGUGGCGAAGGCGAUUUUCUGGUCUAACAUUGACGCUGAGGCUCGAAAGCGUGGGGAGCGAACAGGAUUAGAAACCCUUGUAGUCC
rnacentral:rRNA from 1 species